rnacentral:lncRNA from 1 species
UAGUGACAGACCACCAAUGUUUAACGUAGUUGUUUUUUUUGUCAGAAUAUCCUUUAACUAGAAAACAAAAUAAAGCAGAGCGGCAUCAUUAUAAUAAUAAACAACAAAUCAUAUUCAUUUCUCGUUUUUAUUAGUCUCCUAGAAGAAACACGGCAUCUUUACAAACAACCAACAAGUUGUUUGUAGUUAUAAUUUUUGAACAAGGAACUGCAAGAAGGAGGUAAUGGACAUCGUUCUUCUCGGAUGAGGGAAGUCCUCAAAAGCACUCUCCAGUAGAAAUGCUGGCUUCUAACGAUCUUUUGACACGUUGUCUAUUUUGGAUCCAAAGAGUAGUAGAGGUCAGAGUUUCAUCACCCUAUAGGGCCUCAGACAUUCCGCAUAAGCUGGGUGUCCCGAUACACGACAUCUGUGAUAGUAACGCCGACAUGAAUCUUAGUAAAGUGGCCAUCUUGAAGGGAAUAGUCAGGAUCUGGUCUAGAGGAUGAUUGUGGAGGUUUGACGGAUUGACAAGCAAUGCACUCUCCGUCAACAUCCUCACCAAAAGGAUCAAAAUUGGUAAUGAUGAUGUCUCGAAAGAGUGAACACAAGACAUGGAAUACCCCAAAAACUGUGUUUCCUUUUGUAAUCUUAAAACAGUUGUUUAUCCAUACUUUUUGUUCAGCUAUAUUUAUAAACGAAAGAUGUACACUAAAGUUAAGAUUCUUGGAAAUCUCAACUUAUCCCAAAAAGUUUAAAUACAAAACCUAUCAUUCAUCUAAAUAUGUCUAUAAAAUACUGGAUUGUAUGUAUAUAAGAUGUCCUAAAAUAAAUUAAACAAAUUUCCUA